UGGGGAAUAUUGGACAAUGGGCGCAAGCCUGAUCCAGCCAUGCCGCGUGAGUGAUGAAGGCCCUAGGGUUGUAAAGCUCUUUCACCGGUGAAGAUAAUGACGGUAACCGGAGAAGAAGCCCCGGCUAACUUCGUGCCAGCAGCCGCGGUAAUACGAAGGGGGCUAGCGUUGUUCGGAUUUACUGGGCGUAAAGCGCACGUAGGCGGACUAUUAAGUCAGGGGUGAAAUCCCGGGGCUCAACCCCGGAACUGCCUUUUAUACUGGUAGUCUUGAGUUCGAGAGAGGUGAGUGGAAUUCCGAGUGUAGAGGUGAAAUUCGUAGAUAUUCGGGGGAACACCAGUGGCGAAGGCGGCUCACUGGCUCGAUACUGACGCUGAGGUGCGAAAGCGUGGGGAGCAAACAGG
rnacentral:rRNA from 1 species